GAUUUUGUGUCUCUCCAAUGCUGUUUUGCCUAAGAUGUUGGAGGUGGUGCGGGGCCAAGCGGCCAUUAGUUUCAGCAGCUCCUUUUCGUUGUCGGUGUCCCAUGAUGUCACACUUUUUAAGUUUUCCUCCGCACAUAGGAGAUCAUCAGGAGUCACAGCCCGUACUCCCCGCGUGCGACGUCCAAGGUGGCUCCUGUGGCUUUUAAGAAGUCCAGCCCCACGAUCAGAGGGAAAGCCAGCCAUCACAAACUUCUGAGGAGAAGGAACAUCACACCUGACUUCCCGUUCGCAGAGCUGCCUCCAUAGAUGUUCCCUCAUCAACGUGUAGGAGCUUCCUGUAUCGACCACAGCAUUCACCUUCCUUCCUUGCACUGUUACUGGAACCAGGAGAAGCGAAGGAGUUGCCAGAGGUUGAGCAAUGGAGAGUCCCGCUGCGUGUUUUGAAAGAACUCGCUCACCUGCCUUCUUAUGACUCUUUUCCUUGUUGUGCUGGGAGUCCACCUUCUGCCAAUAGUCUUUGGAGCUCUUGCAGUCUUUUUCCACCCUAGAACCUAUCUUCACAAGCUGUUCCACGGUGUUCACUGUUCCUCUUAGACAUCCUGCCACUCUUGGGUUGAUGUUAUUCAGGAUUCGCCCCACUAGUUCUUCCUCGGAGAUAUCAGGCUUCCACUUCAUACAGAGGGCGCGGUAGUCAUAGGCGAAGUCUCUAAGGCGUUGACUGGGCUGCUGUACCAGAGACCUUAAGUUUUCUUCCACUUCUGUGAGGUAGUCAUCAGGUAAGAAAGCCGCCAUAAAUGCCUGUUUAAAAGACUUCCAGUCCUUCACCUUGCCUUUCUCUGCCUUCCACCAGCUCAGAGCAGGUCCUCGUAGCACCGUGCUGAGGGUUCCUAGCAGUUCUGGGCUGGGCAGUGGUCUGAUCUCCAGAUAGUUUUCACACUGUUCAAUGAAGUUAAGAACAUCCGCUGUCUCUGAAGCGUCGCCAAAGGCUGGAAACUCCAGGCGGAUGGGUGGUCGGCCAUAAAAGGAAGAAGAAGAGGGUGAAACUGAGGAGGAAAGCUGAGCAGAAGCGUGUGGUUGGACACAAGGAGGAAUGUCGUAUGUUUCAUGACUGCUUAUGUGCUUUACCUUUGCCGUAGAUGCUGUGAUCGCCGUGCUGGGAGAAUGUAGAACAGGAGAUUGCGGAGAUGCAGGGGUGUAGGCCUUUAACCUUUGGAUGGUGGGCGUACUUGUGAGCCGUAGUUUUUUCAUCUGGUUUUCCCAGAUUACGUCACGUCUCAGAAAACAGUCAGUGACAGCUCUUUCCAGUUUCUCCAGGGCCUUUUGGCAGUAGCGCUCCAGCCCCUCUAAGCUGGCGUCCACUGCGUCCCGAAAACUGCUUUCUCUGUUCAAACUGCUGUUUAUGGAUUGUCUAAAAUCCUGCUCCAACGUGUUCACUUUAUCAGUAAGCGCCCCCAUAUCCUCUUUGCAUUGAUUCAGUUCAGUUUGCAAUGUAUGCACAACAUUAAUAUCAGACACAACAUCAUCAUCAUCAUCAUCAUGUCUGUCAGAUAUAUAUAGUGAACUAAUCAAUGAGGUUAUUUCAGCUGUAGGGUUACGGCGUGUGGCAAAUGCAUCAUCUACAUCCUCCAGCACAUUAUUAGCUACAGCAAGGUCGGCCUGCACGGCACCACUAGCAUUAGCAUUAGCAAUGUUAGCAUCCAUUUUGUUCUGCCAAGACACACAAAACCGGAAAAUACCCGAAAAUACCGA